rnacentral:rRNA from 1 species
CCUACGUGAGGCAGCAGUAGGGAAUCUUCCACAAUGGGCGAAAGCCUGAUGGAGCAACGCCGCGUGGGUGAAGAAGGUCUUCGGAUCGUAAAACCCUGUUGUUAGAGAAGAAAGUGCGUGAGAGUAACUGUUCACGUUUCGACGGUAUCUAACCAGAAAGCAACGGCUAACUACGUGCCAGCAGCCGCGGUAAUACGUAGGUGGCAAGCGUUAUCCGGAUUUAUUGGGCGUAAAGGGAACGCAGGCGGUCUUUUAAGUCUGAUGUGAAAGCCUUCGGCUUAACCGGAGUAGUGCAUUGGAAACGGGGAGACUUGAGUGCAGAAGAGGAGAGUGGAACUCCAUGUGUAGCGGUGAAAUGCGUAGAUAUAUGGAAGAACACCAGUGGCGAAAGCGGCUCUCUGGUCUGUAACUGACGCUGAGGUUCGAAAGCGUGGGUAGCAAACAGGAUUAGAUACCCGGGUAGUC